rnacentral:rRNA from 1 species
UUAGAGUUUGAUCCUGGCUCAGGAUGAACGCUGGCGGCGUGCCUUAGGCAUGCAAGUCAAGGGGGUCUCGCAAGAGACAACCGGCAGACGGGUGAGUAACGCGUGGGAAUCUACCCUCAAAUGGAACAUAGCCCCUCGAAAGAGGGGGUAAUUUUCCAUAGUCUCUAGGGAGUAAAGGUCUUAACUGGCCGUUUGAGGAGGAGCCUGCGUCCUAUCAGCUAGUUGGUGGGGUAAAAGCCUACCAAGGCUAAGACGGGUAGCUGGACUGAGAGGUCGAUCAGCCACAACUGCACUGAGACACGGGCAGUACACCUACGGGUGGCAGCAACCAGGAAUAUUGCGCAAUGGGGGAAACCCUGACGCAGCGACGCCGCGUGGAGGAUGAAGGCCUUAGGGUCGUAAACUCCUUUUGAUAGUCCCUUCACGGACUAUAGAAUAAGCCUCUACUAACUACGUGCCAGAAGUCUCGGUAAUGCGUAGGAGGCGAGCGUUAUCCGGAUUCAUUGGGCGUAAAGUGUGCGUAGGCUGUUUUGUAAGUCUAUGCCUAAAUCCUAUGGCUUACCCAUAGACUUGGCAUAGAUACUAUAUAAACUUGAGGAUUGGUAGGGAUGCUAGAACAGUUAGUGUAGCAGUGAAAUGCGUUGAUAUUAACUGGAAUACCAAAGGCGAAGGCAAGCAUCUGGGCCCUUCCUGACGCUGAGGCACGAAAGCCAGGGUAGCGAAACAGAUUAGAUACCUGUGUAGUCCUGGCCGUAAACGAUGUCCGCUAGCUCUUGGUGCAAGCCAGGGGUGUAAGCUAACGCGUUAAGCGGACCGCCUGGGGAGUACGGCCGCAAGGCUAAAACUCAAAGGAAUUGACGGGGACCCGCACAACCGGUGGAGCGUGUGGUUCAAUUCGAUACGAAACGAAAAACCUCACCAGGGCUUGACAUGCUAUCGUACAUUUCUCUGGAAACAGAGAGAAAUCCGCAAGGAUGAUAGCACAGGUGCUGCAUGGCUGUCAUCAGUUCGUGCCGUGAGGUGUUCCCUUAAGUGGGGAAACGAACGCAACCCCCGCAAAAUGUUACAUAAUCAUUUUGGACGGUCCCAGUUUUACUGGGAAGGAAGGAGGGGAAGAUGUCAAGUCCGCAUGGUCCUUAUGCCCUGGGCAACACACACACUACAAUGGCGAAAAACAAUGAGCUGCAAGCCGGCAACGGCAAGCGAAUCUCACAAAUUUCGCCUCAGUUCAGAUUGGGGUCUGCAACCCGACCCCAUGAAGUCGGAAUCGGUAGUAAUCGCGGAUCAGAAUGCCGCGGUGAAUACGUUCUCGGGUCUUGUACACACCGCUCGUCAAGGCAGCAAAGUCGGUGGUAGCCGAAGGCUGAUGCAUUUCGGACGAGGCUAAAAUCGGCGAUGAAGCUUAAGUCGUAACAAGGUAGCCGUA